rnacentral:antisense_RNA from 1 species
AUAGGUAUAACGUGGGGCUUUAGGAUAAAUGGGUAAAACAAUUUUAGCGUCAAGACUUGUGGAUAAUGUCUUUAACAUAUUAAUAUGGUAUGUCGUUGGAUUGUUAAGAUAAGAACCACCGGCAAGAUAAAUAAUUGUUUUUUGAUCAGGUUUUCCAUUAUCAUUCCAAGAGUAAACCUGCAUGCCAUAAAGAUUUUCUUGAACAAGGGGACCAUUGACUAAAUUAGUAUCUAGUUGAUAAGGUUUAUCAGAUUGUUCACGACAGGCAUCAAGGUAUCUUUGGAAGCUUGGGUCAUCUUGUUUAGAAUAGUAACUCUUGUCACGUUUUAACCAGAAAUAUUGCUCGAUAAACCAGCUCUUCCAAGAACGAGAACUAGCUGCAACUGGAGUCGGCA